rnacentral:rRNA from 1 species
UACGGAGGGGGCUAGCGUUGUCCGGAAUUAUUGGGCGUAAAGAGCUCGUAGGUGGCCUGUCGCGUCGGCUGUGAAAACUCGGGGCUCAACUCCGAGCUUGCAGUCGAUACGGGCAGGCUAGAGUUCGGCAGGGGAGACUGGAAUUCCUGGUGUAGCGGUGAAAUGCGCAGAUAUCAGGAGGAACACCGAUGGCGAAGGCAGGUCUCUGGGCCACUACUGACGCUGAGAAGCGAAAGCAUGGGGAGCGAACAGG